AGAGUGGUGUGUACAGAGAGGCAGAGCAGCAUGAAAAACCUGCUCAGGCAAGGGAAUUAUUAGUGCUUCAGGGAAUUGCCAUGGAAACAUAAAGCAGAAGGUGGUGAAGGGGCAAGAGGCAAGGCUGGUGAGAAAGGAAAGGCUGAGGUCGUAAGAGAUGCAGCCAGUCAUGUGGGCCAGGAGCCUCAGCCUUGCUCCAUUCAAUGAAAGUAUCCUGCCCUCACCAGAGUGCUCUUCUUUAGCUAUGUAUCAGAUGCACAAACAGAAUUUUUUUUGAAAAAGAAAAGAAAUAGAUGCUUUGACCCACUAAUGGACAUUUGGACCCGGAGACUCUGGAGUCCUGAAGCCCAUUGGGAAAACCUUGAAUUUAUUCUUUUAUGCUGAGGAAGUGACUGAUGCAACCUAGGGUGUGACUUCAUGUACUGGACACAGCUUUAUGUCACAAGGAAUUCUGUCUAAUGGUGGAAUCCCAAACAUCAACCACGCAGUCUAAGCAGCAUCUUGGGAGCCGAAGCGAACUCCUCCUAGGUCGACGGAGCCCAUACCCAGGAUUCUCUGGAUCUGACUACUCUAACAGCAUGGAAAGGUGGAUGUGGGAAGAACGAGUAAGUCAGCAGAGAAGCAACACAUUCAAGAGACCACGCAUCCCUCACCUGGUGCUCACCCGG